rnacentral:rRNA from 1 species
ACGCUCGACACCUACGGGGGCAGCAGUUGGGAAUAUUGGACAAUGGAGGAAACUCUGAUCCAGUGACGCCGCGUGAAGGAAGAAGGUCUUCGGAUUGUAAACUUAUUUUGUCAGGGAAGAAAAAUGACUGUACCUGAAGAAAAAGCACCGGCUAACUACGUGUCAGCACGCCGGACGGUAAUCUGAGGCGGGCGUGGACGAAGGC